AACCAUCGAGUUUUUGAACGCAAGUUGCGCCUGAAGCCAUUAGGUUGAGGGCACGUCUGCCUGGGCGUCUCGCUUCGUGUCGCCCCAAUCUAUCUCAACUUUCUUUUAAAGGGAGAUGUGUGUUUGGGACGGAUAAUGGUCUCCUGUUCGUACUUUAUGAGCAGUUGG
rnacentral:rRNA from 1 species